CAGCAUGCCUCUUGUGGCAUCUCAAACUGCUUUGAGACACCGCAAGAGGCACAUGUGUACUCGUCUGGAGGCAACCCAUGAGGCAAAGGACCUCUUCUCCCCUCUCUGAAAUCUGCCCACCACCUCCCUUCCCUUAUAGCUGUUUGUGGAGUUGAUGACCACACUAGCAUCUCUCUAUACAUAGCCUGGUCUGGUGCAGACACACUCACUAUAUCAUAUUGCUCCAGGCUCCAGAGACUGCUCUUCUCCAGCCUGCUUCCCCCUCAUCCUGCCAGAUUCCUCAGUGCUGCAGCAGGAAGGUGAGAUUGUCCCUAAUGGAUGAACAACCUGUCAAGCUGAAACUGAAAGACCCAGGAAUGAUCAAAAUCAGGAGUUUCAGCGUCUCUUCUGAAGAGGCUCAGCCAAGGAGAAGUUUGAAAUGGAUCAGAUCUAUGGCUGGUUUGAUGCCAUAAGGGCUACUGCUCUGCUUUGUUAAACAGGAAGUCUAGUUCAGACCCUCCAGUCUAUCAGCCAAUUCCAGAGCAGCUGUGGAGCCCCAGACUGCCUGCGUUCCACCAGCUUCAUCUCUGCUCAACUCAGUGGGCCAAGUGAUAAGUGAGAUGAUAAGUAAGAGAACAAAAUGACAUACUAUGACAUACUGGUAAGUAGGAGGGAGUCCAGGUUGGUACAGCAUACACAUUGCAGGGGGCUGGUAUAAACUGACUUGUACACACUUAUGCUUCCUCUAGAUCUUAGUCUUUGUGUCACCUCUGAAUUUGACCCUUUUGUGCUUUUGGUUCCUGAGCCAAUAAGAGCUGGUGGUAUUGGAGGAACCUGGCCUAGUGCCACAGGUAUGUCCACACUGCAGUCACAGAAGUAUAAACAAGCCUACACUGUGCUAGACAGCUUCUGGCAUCCGAACUGGCUGGUUUAGAAGAAGCUUAGAUAUCUCUACAGACCCACAGGUGUCUGCUGCACAUUUAAAUCCCUAGACAAAGAAAUAAUGUUAUUUGUCCUCUGAUACCAGAUGCCAGAAGGCACUGACGCACUGAACAAAUGAUUCAUCUGGAGUCUCCUGGCACCCCUAUAGGAUGCAAGGAGGUUCGACUCCUCUUGGAGCACCGGCUAGGAGCUUUGCAGAGGCAAAAUGCUCUGCCUCUAGGUGGGGGUGGAAUCAUUUGCAUUGUAAAAGUGGGCCCAGGCUUAAAGACCUUAAACUUCCAGGGUGUCUGAGCAUUGCAAACAAACCUUGUCCUUCUCAUGAGUCAGAGCACUGUCCCUAACCUGGGAAAUCCAGAACUAGGUCUGAAUGAAAGAGCUCACUCCCAUUUAAACUCAAGAAUAAUUACCUAGAGAUGUGCAGCUGUCCCAACCUGAGACCUCUCUUCUCCCUCUCUCAGAAGAACUUUAAGAGUCCAUUCACCUUCUACUGCUGGGAGCUCAGAUUCCAGAUCCACCAGUGGAAGAAAAUCGGGCCCUUUCUCCCUGAAGAAAUGUGUUUGAUGUGAUAUGGGGGUAUUUACUGGAAUUCCCUGCAGAUUUCUGUUGUCUCUGGUAAUAAGAUAAAGAGCCCUUUGCCUCUUGGACACAGGUAGGAAUGUGACCCUAGGCUGGUCUGGGGUGGUCAUUAUAAUGUAGUGACUGUCUGGGACCUGUGUGAAAUGAUUUAGUGGGCUGCAGUCCAAUUCUCAACGGAGGGAUGACCACGUCACAGAAGGUCACUCCCCUUUUCACUAAGAGCAUUGCCUUAUAGAUUUACUAUAUUUUCAUACAUUUUUAGGGUUGGAAGGGACCUCAGUAGGUCAUUGAGUCUUGUUUGGUGCCAGGCAGACUAGUCUGUGGGGUGGAUCUCCACUCAUGUCCAAAUGCCCCACAUUCAGUACAGCACCCAGCCAGGUCUGAUUAAUCUCACACGUGUCUGGGGCACCAGGUAGAACCAGGGAUGUUUUUCUUGGGGACUGGGUCAAUGUUUUUUUCCAAAGUCCAAACCAGAUAUCUGGGAAGCUGAUUUUCCAGUGCAAGGAUGUGUGGUUACUUGUGGGAAUAGAGACCCUGAAAAUGCUGACUUGGCUGUAGUUGAUUCCAUCCUUAUAACUUGUCCUUUAUUUCCAGCAUUUGUUGUAGUAAAAACUUUAUGUCUCUUCACAUCAAAAUUAUGCAUCUACCAGGUCCCUCUCCUCUUGUUACAAGACUUUAUUUUCUCCUUUCUUUGUAAAUCACUUGGGUGCUGUUUCACAGGGAAUCUGCAUAGAAUUGACCACCUUUGCCUUCUUUAUCAAAAAUUGAUAAAAUUGGAUAUCAAAUUUAAAAAAAUAAGGGAAUUCCUGUCAUUCCAUGUGAAUAUACAUCUCACUAACUGAUUCAUUGUGAUGAAUAAUAUCAUAAUAAUCCCAUAAUGAAAUGCUGAAAUCACUCAACAUUAUCAGAUUGUAGAAAUAUGCCAGAGACUGCAGUCGUAGCAACAUCAUUUAUGCAGCUACAGAGAGCGAGUAAGCAACCCUGCUGUCAUGGGCAAUAAAUCACACUAGAUUUGGUAGCAUUUGCUUUAGCAUUUCAGGAUGCUGGGUGGACCAGGCACUGGGUCAGGAGCCUAGGUUGUGGGUUGUAGUUCUGUGGGGCAGUGGAGUAACACCUGAUCCUUUUUGCUGCACCUUAGCUCUACUGGUGCAUAAUUCUCCCUCAUCCCCUGCAUUUGUCCCAAGCACAGCA